CCUAAACAUGCAAGUCGAAGCGGGAUCUACCGGUUUAGUUUACUAAGCUGGUAAAUUCAGCGGCGGACGGGUGAGUAACGCGUGAGCAAUCUGCCUUGUACAGGGGGAUAACAGCCGGAAACGGCUGCUAAUACCGCAUAAGGCCACAGUACCGCAUGGUACAGGGGUCAAAGGAGAGAUCCGGUAUAAGAUGAGCUCGCGUUCCAUUAGCUGGUUGGUGAGGUAACGGCCCACCAAGGCAACGAUGGGUAGCCGGCCUGAGAGGGUGAACGGCCACAUUGGGACUGAGACACGGCCCAAACUCCUACGGGAGGCAACAGUGGGGGAUAUUGCGCAAUGGGGGAAACCCUGACGCAGCCACGCCGCGUGAGUGAAGGAGGCCUUCGGGUCGUAAAACUCUGUGACAGGGGAAGAAGAAAGUGACGGUACCCUGAGAGGAAGCCCCGGCUAACUACGUGCCAGCAGCCGCGGUAACACGUAGGGGGCAAGCGUUGUCCGGAAUUACUGGGCGUAAAGGGUGCGUAGGCGGCCGAGCAAGUCCGAUGUGAAAGACCACGGCUAAACUGUGGGGGUGCAUAGGAAACUGUCCGGCUUGAGUGCAGGAGAGGAAAGUGGAAUUCCUAGUGUAGCGGUGAAAUGCGUAGAGAUUAGGAAGAACACCAGUGGCGAAGGCGACUUUCUGGACUGUAACUGACGCUGAGGCACGAAAGCGUGGGGAGCGAACAGGAUUAGAUACCCUG
rnacentral:rRNA from 1 species